ACGGCCAGCGGAGCCGGGAAUGGGAAAUGCAGGAAGGCGCUCUUUGGCAGGAGCAGAAGAGGAGGCAUUUCAAAGAUCCUGCAGGUGACCGAGGUGGUGAUCUGCUGCUAGAAUAAAUAAAUUUCAGGAAGUGCCAAGGCUGCUCAGCCAUUUACUGUGAUAUCACUCCUACAUAAGGAACUUACCAACUUUCUCCAAUUAUCUCCUCUAUUACGCCUUGAGAAGAACUCCUAAUGAAGCAUCUUGAAUGGACCUUAAUGCUGCACUCCAGCAAUUCUUCCUGGCAGAUCUUCUGCUUCUCCAAAGGAGCAGCUCUCUCUUAGAAUCAUAGAACUGUUGAGGUUGGAAAAGACCAUUAAGAUCAUCUAGUCCAACCAUCAACCUUCCUGGAUUGAUCUGCUGCUGUUCUUUGUGUGCCACAGUGGAGGAUCUGUCUUUACCUUCCAGCACCUGUUGGGUAGCCUUCUCAUCUUCAGACUGAGACAUGCUUGGCUGUAGGACUCAAAGGAUAGAGUGGCUCUCUGAGGGAGGCCUGAUGUCAUCUCAGUGCGGCAGCUAAAAAGAAGCCAAGUCCACCUUUGCUUACUUCCUUGGGAAUCCAUGCAGAAGGGAUACCACAUCUCCCCAAGGGGCACGGAUAGGAGAUGGCCAUCCUCCAGGCAAGCCUGCAAGAUGUUGCAUGAAGGCCACAUGUGCUCUUCCUCCUCCACUUCUUCUUUGUGGAAUUCCUCCACCUCUUUAAUUCUGAGAAUGUAUUAUCUCAUUUCCCAUGUAGAGAUGGACAACAGUCGUUCCAGGUCCUCUUUCUUCCAACUAUGGCUGGCAAUUGUCAGAGGCCUGGAAGCUUUGCAAAUGGUAGUCUGGACACAGGGGGUUUUUAUAGGCCCAGACCAAAGAGUGGAGCAGUGUUGGUCACUGUGACAUUAGGAAGCCACUGUGAUGGCCACUGUGAUGGUCAGAAUGGUGUUGGGUGGCCUGACAGAUGCCCUUUGUGUGAGGAGGAAGAUGGUUGGAGGGGCUGAGGGCCCUCUUCCCAGCAUGGCUCCUCCGUGCCAUUUGGCUUGCCAGAGAAAGAGGCUGCCCACCCUGCACAGGGACAGCCCUCCACCUCUCCUCCUGUGCUCUGUCCUUCAUCCCCACAUUUGGAGUCUGUGUGCCACAAGAUGGUAGCAACAGUGUUUCUGGAGUGUAAGAGAUUUGCCCUUACCCUUCUGCCACUGACCUGGCUCCCUGCAAGUGGUGCAGCUACAUACCACACCUCUAGGCCCAGAGAACCCUAGCGGCCCUUCAGUUGACUGCCAUGUCCAUGUCCAGGCUGUGAAGAUGAAGUUAAUCUUUGGAUUAAACAAAACCUGCACUGAUUCCAGGAUCUUUCUCUAUAAGCCACCUUAGCAUGGACUAGAGUUGUACCUUCCCUCCUCUCUGAAAGAUAUAGACAGUUCUGAGUGCUUGCAUAGGAAGUGUCCACACAUUCUUCAGAAAGGGAAACCAUCUAGUCCCAUUUCUAGCAAGGAUUAAAUCACAACAUCUCAUGAAAUCACAAAAGAUAUCCAAGAGGAAAUAUGUCUUCUGUCUUUCCUGCUUUUGUACUCUUUUGCAAAAUCAAAGCUCUCUGUGAAAGACAGGCUACCAGGAACCUCAAGGGGCACCUCCAGAGAAAACACAAUCCUCACUUUCUAAUGCUUUCUAUUUUUUGGUAAAGUUUGUGAUGUGUGAUUUUUCCCUAAAGCCUGAGUUCUCUGAGUCAUACAGUUCGCUGAGAAUUGUUUUCUCAAAUGUUAAUUUCUAGAAAAAAAAAGCCCAAAGACAUGACUAGAAUUCUAAUUUUAUAAUGAGAAGCAAAAAGAAAAAGGGUCGAAGGUAUUGUUUUUAAGCAGUCUCUAGGUAUUUAAGCUAAGUUUGAGAGUUUCUGAGGUCUAGAAUGUGAUUUUUGAAGAGUAGCAAUGACAACAGUGCAUUACAAUUAUGCAGCACAGCAUAAUGAUACUUCCUACAACCACCACUUUCCUUUCUGCUUUUCAUUCCCUUCCUCAAGUCAUUCCAGCCUGCAUCUGUCUGGCCUCUCUCAUGUUUUUCUCUCUUCUCACCCUUCUUCCAGCUCCUGUGAGCUCCCAGCCAGCAUCAACAUCUGCACGGCUUUCAUCCCUUCGUCCCCUUGUCAUGUCCCCUCCAUUGGCAUGUCACUUUCUCAUCCCAUUCUCCUGGUGGAGACGUCUUCUACUUGAUUGCUGCUUAAUGAGAAAGAUGAAGUAAUGCAACUGGAGAUGACAGCCACAGCCAGGUGGUUCUACCAGACCAAGAGCCAACUUGCAGCUACCAUGGCUGAAGUCAAUGGAAAAAGCUGAACUCCCCUGGAAGGCAAUUCAAAGCAGAAAACAAGCUUCAUGCUCUCUCUUUUCCACCCAAGGCAGGUUAGGACAAAGCCAAAGUGCCUCUUUCUGGAUAAUCCCCUCCUUGCUUUUCUUAACAUAUUUCUUUGUUGGAUUAAAUGUGGCUCAGCGUGGGAGUUGACCUGGACAACUGCUGACAAAUGAGUAUAAAAAGCUACACCUGAGUGGAACAAUUGCAGGGAAUGCUGUUGUACAGCUCUACAGGCUCGUUUGGCUCAGAGUGAAGGAGGACUGGCAGCAAAGAGUGACAGCUUUAUUUGUACACCAGUUUCAGGUGUAAACAACAACUGCUUUAUGCAAAACCUUCUGUCCAUAAAGCUCUUAUUCUGCUUAGGGAACUGCUGAGAAAUUACCAAACCCUUGUCAGGUGCAGAUGUUGUUUAUUUCUCUAAAGAUAUAUAUAUGUAUUUGCUUUUGAUGACUUACUUUUGCUACCAGCAGCUAUAACCAACAUCUGCUUGAAAUAACUCUUACGGCCUGCUUUUCUCCUCUGUGCUGUGUUGCCAUUCCUAUUGAAAUUCCAUGUAACCAUGGGCAGUGUCAGCUUGUGGCACUGGGUAGCUGUGAGCUGAGCAUGAAAAUGUGCACAAGCAAGCAACAGGCACACAUACUAUCAGGUACAACUAUAAAGCAGAAGGAGCUCUGUAUGCUGCCAGUGCAGGAGAGCACUGCUGGCACUCAGGCUGAAUGCUGAGAUGUCACCGAGGCAAGAUGCUGGCCUUCCUCCAGGAUUCCAGGAGUUUCUAGGGCUGGUGAGACCAGGAGGCUUGAUUCCCCAUGGGAAAUUUACCCCUUGUAGUAUGCUAAAUCUCCUCUACCACUGCCUCCCAAACCUCUCCUGUGCAGCUUUUGUGAAUCUCUCUAAGCCCAAAGCAAUAGCUGUAGCAGUGGACGUAUGGCACCGCAGGACUUAAUUAAUACAGAAGAGGAGUUUGUAUUUCUUUCUUGCAUGCAAAAAGGGUCACUGAAAACUAGUAAGGCCUUCUUUGCUCAACCUGAACCUAAAUCAACCAUUUAAAGUACUUGUGACCCUCUCAAAAAUGCAGCUUGCCUCCUGGGCCAUUUCCAUGAGCAUCUCACAGAGAUCUUCAUUUCCAGUGAGCAGCACUUGGCUCCUGAAACACAGAUGCAGAGCUGUUUGCAGAUCUACCUUGGAGCAAAAUGCAAGAAGCCUAGGAAAAAGGCCCUCAAGCUCUGCAGAAGUGUUCCCAAGCUUACAGGCAUUUCCAAGGGACACUGAUCCACAUCAUGCAUCUGAACACAUCCCAGGUCCAAGAGGACCACAACAGUUAAGCUAUGCUAAGUACCAAUGUGGGUGAGGAGUGAGUGCCCCAUUCUCUUCUGUCACUUCUGCGAAGGUGGAGGUGAUCUCUGGAAGGGAAAAUAGUACUGUACAUCACCAUGCCCUUAAGACAAGGGAGCAGCAGACAAAGCCCUAUGUGUCUCUGAGAUUGAAGUUUAAAGCACUUUACAACCUUUGGGAAACAAAUUUCAGGAUGCUGCCGGCAAAUUUUAUAGGUAGGCUUUCAAUUUUCAUUCUGUUAAUGAGAGAAUACAGGUAAAAGGGGUGUGAUUAUUCCCUCUGUUGUAAAAUAUACCAUCAAACACAUAACAUGUCCCCAAACCAGAAUGACAGGGUCUUGUGUGGACCCUUGGAGACAUCAGCAUUACCUUCUGCUUCCUGUGGCACAAAUACAGAGCUCAGCGGGAUCAAACUUUCCACUGUCCUAACAAAAAGUUAAUGCUGAAAAUGUGCCUUUUUAAAACGUUUGUAAUUGGCAGCUCCUGCCAAGUAUUAGGAGGCCAGUAAAAUCUCUCUACAUAAAUUGUGUUGUAAUUAACAUGAUUUGUUUAAUGUCACCUUGUCUGGCUGUCGGAGAAACUGUCUCAAAAUGUAAAAACACCGCAUUUUUCAGUUGAGAGAGUGGAUUCUGGCUGCACCGAGACAUUUUUAUUUCUCUCUUCUAUUUUACAGUGGCCUUUACAAAUCUCUCAGGCUGGUGAACCCAAGCAAAGUUAAUCAAGAAUUCUCUGAUGACAAAAAUCACAGCCAUAAGACACAGUAACAACAAGCAUUGCAUUUUUUCUUAAUAAAGAUCCAGGCUUGUCUGCCUCCCUCAUCCACAUACUCAUUAAAAUCAUCAGAACUAAGGGUGUGAGAAGGAUGGGGCCUCAAGUGUCCAACAGUGAAAAGAUGGUGGUGCAUGUCUCAAAAGCAAGACAGGUCAGAUUUCAGACGAAGUAGGGAAAACUGCUGAAGCAACACAGGCAUCCAACACCAGUCCCACCAAGGCAGGUGUGAAACUAUCUCAUCGCUGAGAUUCCUCUCUCUCAUUGCUGAGGAUGCAGCUUCAACCGCAACACAUCCCAUCUUUGAUUAUCGAGGUAAGGCUGGGACAUCAGUGUGAGAACUGGCCAAUUUUUAUUUACUCUCCACAAAUAGCUACUUUGUUAUUCUUGCCAUUCUAGCUUUUAUUUUAGUUUUUUUCUUUUUCUUUUUUUUUCUUUUCUUUUUUUUUUCCUUUUUUCCCCAUGAAAGCCAUCAUAUUCCCUGGAGGCAUUCAAGGCCAGGCUGGAUGUGGCUCUGGACAGCCUGGUCUAGUGGUUGGUGACCCUGCCCACAGCAAGGGUUUGAAACUAGAUAAUCUUUGAUGUCCUUUUCAACCCAGGCCAUUCUAUGAUUCUGUGACAUUCAAGUAUCUAUGGCAAAACUACUUAGGGUAGUGUUUUCAGACUCUACAGGUCUCUGAGUUGGAGUGAGUAGUUUUUUGAAAGAUAAUGCUGAAGAAAGGGAUGACAUAUACUUGCUGUUGCUUAGAAAACCAGCCCAUCACCCAGUGCUGUUACUCAGCAAAGCCACUUUGAGUUACAAGAUGGAAUAAAAGUUACUUUAAAAGAACAAAUGAAAUCAAAUUGUGCUUCAAGGCAUUAACAGGCUUUGUAAAAGGUUGCAAUAGGAAUAAUAUCCCCUUCUGACACAUUACUUUAUAAUUACAGAUUAUGGAGCUGCUUGUAUCUUUCUAUGACGGAUCUAGUGCUGACACCCUUAAAUACAGGAUACAAUGAGCCUUGUAAAAGAAAUGUGGAAGAGCAAAUGUGAAUCCCUAGGCUGCUCAGUGUCCCCUUUGAUACAGUACAAAAACAGUGUAAGUAGCCUAAUGUUUUAAUGAACAGAAAUAUAUUCCUGGCAAAGAAGUGAAUUUAGCACUUAGUGAAAUGUUCUCUACUGAACUGGUGACAUUAGCUUCAUAGUCAAGCUUUUAUUGCUGAAAAGAAAUUGCGGUCACACUCUUCAUAUUGAAAAUUUAGUUUAAUAAACUAAAAUUCAGUGAUUGUAAUUUAUCUCUAGAUUUCCUGCACCAGUACUUGUUAAAAGAGAUAGGAAAAAUGCAGACCUUGAGAUAGCCUUUCUCACACCAAAGACCAAUGUCUUCAUGGGCUAAUACGCAACAGGGAUGUUCUCAAAGCAACUUUUCAUUUGUAACGCAAUACAGAAGAUGUGCAAUUGUCAGUGUUGCGGAACUCCAUCAUCUGAAACAGUGCACACUUCAGAGUGAAGGGGUGAUUCUUUUACAACAUUAGCAAUAUCUGUCAACAGGCCAGGACUGAAAGAAGUCAGCCUCCUGUGACUAAUAGCAUAAGCAGUCCCUUCCCUUAAACAGUUUCGUUUUAUCCCCCAAGGGUCUUGUAGUAACUUAUACCUGAAGAAAGAGCCUUUUUAUCUUCCUCAAUCUAAUUAAAAUACAACAUCAGGCAGAUGAGCAAUACAAUAUUGCUAGUGUCCAUUUGUUAACUUGUCAGUCUCAGAAGGAUUUCCAGUUCUAGUUGUGAUUGAAGAGGCACCAGAUUACUCAGCUGUAGAAACCACAGAUGAAAAAAAUCCCCGACUCUUGCAACCACAAAACUCAUGAGGAUUUUACAAUCCGUGGGGUAAGAUUAACUAACAGAAUAAUAUAAAUGGAGUGAAAACGUGCUCCAUUCACACGUCAUUUAAAAGCCAAAUAACUUUGCGUUAUGGUGAGUUUUGCAUUUUUGUAGCAGUAUGAAACUUUUUUUUCUUUUAUGCGCUGAGGGGUAGGUGGUCAAAUUUAGCAGAGGAAGUAAUGGCUGGAAGUAUACAGCGGAGAUAGACAAGGUGCAUUUUUUAAUGUCUAUACACUGUAAUUGCAUGUGACUCAUUCCCUACAGUUCCCACCAAUGCUCCUCUCCAGCCAGAGGCACUGGUAGGGCAGGUGCUGUCAGAGAGAGAUUGUUGUGACGACUAAAUGUCAUUAGAUGUGGGCAGAGACUGGAUGGAGGUCAUCCGACCUCUUGCACUUGUAAAGUUUGGAACAGUAUAAGUAUUUGCAGACUGAAGCCCAUGGCAUUGAAUUUACAGGAUUACGUAGGUCAUUUUUCUAUUGAUAUUUUAUGUCCUGUACACAGUUACAUCUUCUGUCUAGGCUUUUAAUUUGUAAGCUCUGUAACUGGCAUGCAUGAGGGUUUUAUUGCCAAGAAUUUCAGGGUUUGCUGUCAUUUUGCAUAUGGACAUAAGGUAAUGCCUUCUUCCUUUUUAUUUUAUUAUUUUACUCAUUAAAGGCUAAGCACAAAUUCGUGCAUUUAAAAGCGGCGCUCUGAAAUUGCAUGGCUAUAUAAUCGCAAUUUAUCAGACCAAAAAUUAAAUCUAAAAUUAGACAUAAAAAUCACAACAUUACCAGUCCUGGAUUUAAGGCUUAUAUUGCUCCAAAUUUCAAGGAAAAUAUUUAAGAAUCGAUUUAAAUGCUAAUGAACUGGUUUGCCAUAAAACUAGCGAGUAGUUACACUCAAUCAGAGUAAAAGAGAAACAGUAUUAGUUUUUCCUUUGUCGGCCUUCACUUGUGACAUUAUGUACAUAAAUUCACAAAUGUUCUUGUGUCUCCCAGACCUACAUACCACAGUAUAGUAAAAAGACACUUUCCUGAAACCAAGAUGUAGUGAGCAGGAACAGAAAGCUUUCCUCCUUGCGCAUUCGCUGGGUCAAAACCAGGCAACCAUAAGCAUGUGCAUGAACUGCAAAACGUGUACAAGAGGGAAGAUCCAUGAAUGACAAGUUGAAGGAGAGUGACAAGACUUAUCCUGUGGAGCUGUUGACGGAGGAAAGCUUCUCAUGCUGUGCCUCCACAGAGCAAAGUGCACUCACUAUCUGCUGAAAUUUCACCUGGACUUUUGGCCAGAAGAGGAAACAUGAUUUUGAGAUGCAGCCCCGUGUGAAAGGUGGCAGAGGAGGAGAAUUCCAACCCUUGUUAACCUAGUAGGAAUGUAGUCUGUAAAUCAGAGAAGAUAGGAUAGACAGGGAGACCUCUGCUCCGCUUCUGUAGGCAGUGGGAAUGGUGGGACCCCAUAGCCACCAUCUCACAGCAUCUCAGUGAGUGCAACAGCCUCAAGUGGGGCUGAGGAGCAGGGACAUCUGCCUGCACCUCUUCCAAACAACCAGAGGCUCGUUUUCAUCAAGCUGAUUGUUAGCAGGUUCAGCAUUUAAAUAUUAAAAGAGAGCCUCAGAAUUAAAUAGGCAGAACCCUCUAGUCCUUAUUCAUUAAGAAAAUGUCUGGGGGCUUCUUCCCCCCUCCCCUGAAGAAGGUUUAAAAAGACAAGUUAUCCUUACGAAGUCUUAUAAACGCCCACGAGACAAUUUUGCUUUGAAGUAUCAAUGUGACAGGGCAAAAGCAGAACAAUUUGAUACUAAUGAUUUCAGUCACCAUCCUAAUGCUUCAUGUUUUAAAGAUCAUUUUGCAAUAAAGACAUCAUGAUUUUACAGUCAUUUUAGAAUAAUAAACCAUAGCACUUAUGGAUUACUUUAAAACAGAAAAUAAAUUGGAGCAAUAAAUGUUUUUCUCAUUUUAGAGUUGGAGAAACUGGGUCUCAAGGAGGUGACCUUGUCAUAGUGCAGUCGAGGACAUCUUCUCCUCACCCCUCAUUCUGGGGCUGCCUUUUGGGUGGUACUGUCCCUUACCUGCUUCUGCAGACAAGAUGACCGAUGACAACCCUCUGCAGAAGACAACAGAUGCAGACUGAUGUUCUAGCUCCCUUCCUUGUGACGUCAGGCACUUCACUGAGGCAUCUAAAAUAGGAGUGCCGAAACUCCCAUUAGGGGGAAAAAAAAUAAAAGUGGAGAGAAGUGACGAUCUUCUCACAGUAGAUGAGAUGAACACAAUUCACUAGACUUGCUGAUGUUUUCUGGAGGCAGGAGGUGGCCAUUAAUCCACUCUUCCCCAUCAUUUUUGCUGGCGCAUUCUCUGCCCCAUGGCCUGUAGGAGAGGGGCAGCUCCCCAAUCUAGGUAGCUGCUGCCCACCCCGCUCCACCAGGGGACUCUGUGGCUCGAAUGGGCACCAGCAGGCAGGCGCUGCACAGAGAUGUGGGUGCUGCAAAGCAUCCUUUGAGCUCAGGGAGCACGAGGAUGGGAGGCCAACCAAUAAGUCAUAUCGCUAGUGACGGUUCACCAGCCUCCAAUCCAGCUUGAUUCAUUAUUCACCAUGAAAUUCUCUUCCCUCACUUGCUAAGCAAGGGUAUGUGUUUCCCUCCAAGAAACUCCACAAACAUCUCUGCUAACACACAGCUCUCAGAUGAUGACAGAAAAGUAACAGAUGGUUCUAUACAGGAUCCCCAAGUGUUCAUCAGUAUUUACGGACAUCAGACAAUGACUUAUCUUAGACCAUCUACAUUUAAACCACAGCAAUGCAAAUGAAGCUUCCUUUGCAUAGUAAGUAGUUGGGAUGGGAUAUUACUACAUACAUUUGCAUCUUCACUAGUAAAGGACGUUCCUCCUCCAGGAAUAUUUCCUUCUUGUACUGUUCUGGUGUGUUACUGUUACUAGGAAGUCAGUCAGGAAAGGUAAUACAAAAGACAGAGUGGGUUUCCCAGCUCAGAAACAAGUGUACAUCACUUAAAAUAUUGGCAGAGGAUAGAGGAGAGGAAAAACUCUUUGUGGCAGCCACUCACUAUCAAAGCCUCAGCUGCUCUGCCUCAUAGCAGUUACCAGAGAAGUGCAAGUGCUCAACUGGUUUGAAAAACGGAUCCAGACAAAACGUUUAAGGACUCACGUGAGUCUUUAAUUAAAAUCCAUUCAAAAUGAGCAUUUCACUCUACCCUUCUUCUCCAAAACACAAUCCCACACAGUGCAUGUUGGAGGUAGGCUAGGGUGGUGGAAACAGCAAUGAAAGGAAGAAGGAAAUCCCCCAAACCGAAGCAGCCACCAAGUUGUCAACUCUCAUCAUGAGACUUAAAAGAAGAGAAAAUCCAUACCGACAGGGAUGAGAUCCUUGAGAUGAAGUUUGGUGGCAGUGUGUGCACUGAGGAGGCAGAGUGCCCAGCCGCUGCUCUCGCCUGUGACAGCUGCAUUUGCUGACAAUAGCAGCCUGGCUCUGGGACACCUGUCAAAGGGCACCCAGAGCUUCAGAUGGCACAUCAGAGAGCAGGAAGAUAUUAUGGAUGGGGGAUUACUUCUGCUGGCGCUGCUCAUCAGUGUUUGAAGGCUGUCAACAUCCCAAACUCUGAUACUUUCUCCCUUGGCAAUUUUAUUUUAUUUUUUAAUUACAGCAGUCUUUAUUCUAGGCAGAAUUCGUGGAAUUGGCUGGAAAGAUAGAGAUCAUCAUUUCAUCAGGAUCCUUGGAUCUGAAUCUUUGUCUUUAUUUGUCCUCAUGAGACUGAGGAAUGCAUUUGGGAGUCAAGAUUGCCCUCCUGGAUAAGGAGAAGUCCCACGAGUGCAGAGAUAAUUUCACUACUUCUUGGAUGUGUGAGCUGUGGGAAGACAGCCCCCCUCUUUUUCAUUACUUACUUACGUUGCUGUGUAUGGAAAGUUAUUUCUGUAUGAUGAAAGCAUUUGCCAGGAGUAGACAGGUUGUUUUGAAUGGCAUUGCUUUUGAAUUCUGUUUAUAAUUAGACUGCUUCCCUGUGCGCUUUUCCCUUUUUCCUUUAUUUAUUUAUUUUCUUUUUUUUUAUUAUUGUUAGAGUCUGUAUCUAGUACAUUGCUUUCCUUUGCAUGAAAGACUUAAUAGUCCAUCGCCUAAUUUCCAUGUUAAUUAGACAUGUGACUCCUCUCAAUAACUGCCACAUCCUCACUCGCUUAAUACGUACUUCUGUACCCUCAGCAAUGAUCUGAUAAAGAACAUUAUCAGUGCAAAAUACAUAGAACAAGAAACCAUGGGGAUUAGAUAUUAAGGAGGACACUGUGGGGACUGUGUUAAUUGAGACGAUCAGCAAGAUUAAGAUAAGUCUUGCUGCUUUCUCAUAUUGGUCCUAAUGACACAAUGCAGAGCCCAAAGCACUUUACCUGCUGUACAAUGUAUUUAAGUCGCUUUCUUCCCCAGGGUUUGUAAUCUAAUCUUCUAGAUAAAACACUUAGCUGAGUGAAAACAGCUGGUGUUAAAAGCUGUAUUUUUAAGAUACAGCACCUGCAUAAGGUUUUAAAAACUGCUAAAAAUGGUGAAGGCUAAUAGAAGUUCUAAUGUGCUCUAUGUGUGCACACAUCCAGAAGGACAGACAGAAGUCUGUGUGUGAGUGCACAGCAUGGCCUGAGCUGGUACUGGUGCUGUUCCACCUUCAAGAGGGAGCUUUGCCUGGGUGUCUCCAGAGGCCUAUUCUAUACAAUAUUUCCCUGAUACAAAUUCAUAGGAGUGGGGGUGCUAACAUUAUCAUUUUAAAAGAUUGUUCCUCCUUUAAGAACAUUGGCUUUUUCCUCAAAAUGGUUGCUGCCUGCAAUUAAAAUGAAGAUUUCUCACAGCAAAUGAUUUUGCAUAAAUAGAUUUUGAAUAAUGGAGUUGUUGUCAAGAAAAAGAAAUAGGCGCUACCCAGAUCUUUUUCAAAUCAAUUCUUGAUGGAGUUCUUCAAAGGGGGAUAAAUAUUGCUGGUAUAAUGAUUUGCCACAUGACCUUGCACUUGAAGUGCUAAGCAAGGUGAAAAACAACAUAUCCAAACAUGAAAAAUUGCUGAUUUCAAUUCCUAAAAUAAUAUUUUUCUAGCUAGAACUAUUUCUGUUAUGGGCUGGCAUGCACAUACAGAGAGAAAGUUAAGAUUUUCCUUCAGCAAUAUGUGAUAUCUCCCACUCAACUAGAUAACUGAGAUGCUAUUUUCCUUCACGAAAAGCACUUUUGCAUGUCUGCAGGCAAUACAGCUCAAAAGCAAUUUGAGAGGAAAGGUAGGUUUUGCAGUUGUGGCAAAGGACUGAGCGUUCACUGUGGUUCUGAUUGUCCUGCCCUCUGAGCCAGCCUCUGCCCCCUAGAUUCCCGUGGGGUGAGGUGGACGGGGGGUUCCCUUGUCUAGAGACCUCUGACCUCAGAGUGCACUAGAACCAAGAACCACAGUGACACAGGCUGCCAAGGGUCCUUGUUUUCCAUGCAACCAACAUGACAGCAAGAUACAGAUCAACAUGGCAGCAAGCAGGAGGAGUUGAAAAUAUUCACUGAAGAAGAAAUCUGACGUAAAUGGACUACUGAAUCCAAACUGGUGUUCCUCAGAUACUUUGCUGCCCCAGCCCAGGUGCAGACCAGUAUCUUCCUUACACAGUGGGCUGUACAGCAAGGAAAACUGCUGGUACAGAAAGCACAGGCUGCUUGGGGACAGUCGUCAUUGCCUGACAAGAAAUGUGACUCAAAACACCAUACACACUUGGUAGUUAAAAGCAUUGAUCUUCCAAACUGGAGAACGUUACAAAGACAGGAGAAGCAUAAUGACAGAAGCAAACAUAGAAAUGUAAAUGAGGGGGAAAAAAAAUAUGAGGAAGGAGUGCAUAUUAAGCAGCCAAAAAGACAUUACUUCGCCGUGAAGGAGUUGAAUGAUAUUGGUGAAAAGCCUAUUCUCUUUCAGUGGAAGAAUGAAGGCAGGAAUAACAAAUUAAAAAGUAAUAUGCAACAUAUGGGAAAAAGAAAGAGGUAAUAAAGAUCCAUAUAAAUAAGAGCUUAUGAAGUGUAGAAAAUUGAUAAAGGAUACUAAAGACAUCAGAAUAAAAUCCAGGGCUGAUCUGGCUAUGUUUUGGAAGAAGUGUUUCUCGAAAGCUUAUUAGUAAUAGCAGAAAAAACUAUCAGUGCCAUAGACUCAUUACUAACUGGAGACAGCAAGCCAUUAAUAACAAUGAAGAAAGAGGCAAAAUAGUUCAACAAUUAUUUCUGUACUCUGUUAGAAUUAUGUAUUUUUGGACAUAUUAAUAAUUAAGAAAGACAAUGAACAACCUGUACCAAGGUUACACAUUUUUGAAAUCACAAGGUCCAAAAAAGCGACCCCCAGGAGUCAUGGAAGAGUUGGUAUAGGAUAUUUUUAGCUUCCUUAUGUAUAUUUUUAAUAGAUAACAAAAUAGUGUGGAAAUCUGCAAAGGUCAAUAUUGUGUAAAAAUUCCAAGGCAAAUGAAACCACUCAGGUAAAUACAGUCCUACUUGGUACCAAUCUCAGGCAAAGUAAUGGAGAAAUUGGUGGAAGAUCUAAUUAAUAAAACGUUUAAAUAUAAGAUUGUAAUUAAUGCAAUAUUACUGACAAGGAGAUUGCAAUUUCAGACUGGGACACAUAGUUGAUAGAGAGUAUCCAGGAGCAAUCUGUUCAAAACUGGGGGGACAGAAGGAGGGACUUCUGAAUUCAGUGAUGAGGUAAGGAUGCUGUAAGGGCUGCAACCCAAGCAGAGAGGCAAGGCAGCAUCCCAUGGGAAAAGCAGCAGAUGACUGUUCCAUGGGCAACUGCACUGUCAUAUGCAUGCAGUUCGUGUGAAAGGCGAGCUUCUGACUUUUGACUUGCAGUUCUUUAAUAUAGAAAAAUCAUUCAGGUAAAUAAAUUAUGUGAUUAAGAAGCAGCCUGCAAAGAUAUAAAUGAAGCAGCAGCAGGAAACAAGGCAGGAUAGGCUGUUCCUGGAAGCGAGGGGAGCAGUGAGGCUGUGGGAUGUUCAGUUGGCAAAGAAAUAGAGGAUAAAGAGAAGAGAGGGAAAGGGGCAAGCAAUACAGGUUUUAGAGGCUACAUAAAAUGUCCUUAACCAGCUUUCAUGAAAAGCUGAGUGCAUGACUGAACUCCGCUCCUAAAGGAGUGCUCCAGCAGAUUAACAGGAAUACAAUGAAGGGUCAUUUUUUCUCUUGGAGCUAUUGAAUUCCUUCCUUUCAUUGAAUCAGUACAUUGCAGAUUUUGCUUAUCAAAAGUCCUUUAGUGCUGUUUGAUGAUGAGCCAUAUUCUGCCUUGACUGCCAUCCCAGGCAUCCCCACCAAGUUCAAUGACGUCUUGUGGAGAAUAAAGUGAGGCAGACGUUAGCUUGAUGUCUUUAACAGUGUUGCGGCUGCUAAUGAAGCACAAUCUGAUUUGGUACAUGUUUGGAGACUGUCACUGACAUGUGGUAGAAUAGACAGUCUCUGCUGUCUCUGCAAUUGAUUCGUCAAGUGCACUAUGCGUAUAGGAAAUUGGAACAUCUCUUCUGUUUGGUUUUGUUGCCAUUGAGGAGUCACGUGGAUAAAGCAUACAAUAAUUAUUUUGGGAAUUUUUGGCAAUGAAAUGGUUUCCCUCUUCUCCCACUCCUUCCCCACCCAAAAGUAAUGGAGCUGUCAGGCUUAUUAGAUAGCACAGGCAAGUUUUAAAAAGUAAAGAAUGGGAGUGUUGCUUUUAUAAGAAAGAACUGUAGACCUGGAAAUGAUCCAUAUUUGGAAUAUAAAUGCAAGCUGUUAUGCAGAUCAAAGUAUCUAUUUGGAGCCAAAUUACUCAACAACAUCUAUCUAUGCCUCUUCAACACCUGCAGAUUAGCAAUGUAAUCUUGUGGAGGUUGCUAUAGCUACAUCUCUGGAGCAGGUGGAGUUCUUCGUCUCUGGGAGCGCUGCUAUGCUCAUUCUUUGCAAAUAAACCAUCUAAGAGUAUAUUUAAAAUGUCACCCUGGUGGAGUCAGUCCCUGUCUCUCUGACACUGUCACAUCAGAUCUGUUCUUAUCCGACUGAGCCCAGCUGUUUUCUUAAGAAACAAUGCUGCCUCCAUUUAAGCGCACUGCCUUCUCCUUGAGUACGUGUGCCUGGGCACCAGGCUUUGCCAAUCCAGACCUACUCGGGCCAUAAAGCUCAUCCUUGAGGUUAAGUUGGGGAGGACAGCACAGGUUUAUCUUGCAGUUAUGUAGUCUUGCCUACGCUGGUGGCACACAGAACUGUAACCUGGCACAAAGCAGAACUAUCAACCUUCAGCAACGCUAGUCAGGGCCUACAAGAAGUCCCUGGUUCAGUCAGCUAGUAGAUUUUCAAGAUGGUUGUAUACCUGUGUCUCCCAUCAUGGACUCUGCUUUUACACUGAAUACUUAAUCCUUCUUGCUUGGGCUCUCCUGUCAUUUGCCACAGCAAAGAGUUUCCCACAUGACCCUGCUUUCUGUUUGUCUGCAGUGACUGGCAUAUGCUGUAACCCUUAACCUUCUGUCAAUCAAGCCCACAUCAUGCUAACCUUUGUGAAAACACAAUAGGAAUCCCUGGGUGAAAAGCUGAUAGCCUGAAAGAAGGGCUCUGACAAGUAUUAAAAUAAAUGACAAGAGGCUAAGAAGAAGAAGCACCAAAGAGUAGAAAAUAAACAAAUCAGGAUACUUUGACUUGUCUGAUUUUGUCAUUCUCCUUGUUUGUCUUUUGCUCUAGUUGUAUGUGAAGUGCAGGCUUUUCAUUCCCCAGUGAAGGUAGGGAAAAAGAGAUUUCCUACCAAAACCUGUCAACAACAGCAACAACAGAGAAUGUUUCCCUCCUUGGCAAAUUUUAAUUUCUACAGUAGAAAGCUGAGUAUCAGAAAACGCUCCAAACAUAGCAACGCUUCAGUAGGUUUCAAUAGAAAGCUCCAGACUUCCCCAGAAAGAAAGAAAGAAAGAAAAGAAUAAUAUUUUUACCAAGCAGCAGAGUGACCAACUUCAUGCUCAGCACCACAUUUUCCAUGCAUUGCUUUUCCCUCCAGUUUAUUUUGUCCCUUGUCAUGUCUCUGAUACACUGUCUUUUUAACUUCCAAAUUCCUGAAAUAUGUCCGCUCCACAGAGCCUCCUAACUUUUGUCCUCCCCAAAAGUAGCGCUGUAAAAUUUAUUUCCAAAAGUUCAGGCAUAUAAAAAUAUGCCAUGUUGCCUUGAGACACAUCCAUCUCUGGGUCAAUUGGUGUCUUACACGUCACAACUGUAUUUCUCUUACCCUUAAGGCAACUUCUAUAUUCCAGUUCUCCAGACUGCUGGUAAAAUAAACCAGGGAAAAUGAUGAAGAGGCCACUCGUUAUGAUACAGGCUGCUUAGGGACUGGUCUUUCCACUUAUUUCAGGAACGGCUGUUGAAAAAGGUGAGUAAGACAGGCAGUGUGGAGGAAAUCUUGUCAGUCCUGCCUUCCUUCUGAAUCAGACUUGUUCAUAGCUGGUGAUCAAAACUUUGCCAAAAGCAGGGAUGUGUGCUCUGCCUUUGAAAAGAGCUAUCAGUCUAAAACACAGAAAUGAAGGCAGGCCACAGUCCCAUGUGCUGUGAGAGAACGGGCUCCUAUCUGGGUGCUGAAUUCCCAUCAGCACCAGGCCAUCAUGGAGCAAUAAUUAACCCAUAGUGGCAGUGCAGCUUGGGGAAUGCAUGCCCAACUGAUAGCUAUGAAAAUGGAUGGUUUUUCUGUUUUCCAAGCUUCAAGUCCAAAAUGAGGGAUUUGUGGGUUUUUUGGUUUGUUUUUGCUGGGUUUUUGUGUGUAUGUUUUUCUUCCUUGAGUUGUUUUCUUUUUUUUUUUUUCUUUCCUCUGAGGGCUAUUAAAAUCUGUAAACUGUUAAUUUUGUACUACGCCAAAUUAAGAGUAACAUUUGUUCAUGAUUUAGCUGCCAGGAAUUUGGUUUUGCUUUUUGCGGCCUUCCUAACAAGCAGACGAAAGGCACACAGAGAUCUGCCAUACACUCACGUACGUGAACGAGGUUGUCAAAAGCAGCUAGCAGCUUGGGAGCGCGUAGUCUCCCACCCCAAGACUUCUGCAGUGGGCUUCUUUUGACAAAAACAAGCUUUCCUUAAGUCAUCUCUAAUCAAUCAUAUAAAAUUUUAAACACACACACCAUAACAUUAGUCACUCUUGAAACUGGCAGCCUUACACAUCAAAAAGGAAAAACGUGGUCUUAGUAAUUGCCACCACGCCCAUAUUACCCACAGCACCCACAGAAGUUUUUCUGUAGGGCAGAAACUCUUUCAUGGAAGUCUCCUGUAUGAUUUUGCUAAGGAAAUAUAUAAAAAAGUAGACUAAUCUGAAUUUAAAUCAAUCCUUAGGCUGAUGUGUGAUCUUAUUUCACAACUAAAAGAAAAGCCAUGCAAGGCUAAUUUGACAAAAAUGCUACAAAUUACAGCAUAAAAUUUUGCUUCUCUUUAGGGGAGAAAGAAGCUUACCUCCAUCCCACAGCACAGUGCUGGACUUGACCCCAGCCCAUGCUGUGCCCCAAAUUGGUGGGCCCUGCAAUUCAAACGCCAGAGGGUUGUGGUGGGUCAUCUGUGCUUUGCAGCACAGCUUCCUCUCUAUUGCCAUUGCUAUGGAAAUUGUUUCUUGAGGCAGCCCUAAUUUUCCUUUCAUCAGUCAAUUAGGGGCAGACUUUGCACUGCGUUGUUUGUUUCCCCGGUGCUGCGCUGUUUGAUAUUAUUUUCUUCAUGACAAAUUAACCACAGCUGGACCUGUCUGGAAUUGCUAAGGAUGCUCUUAAGUAAAGUGAAGAAAAAGGGAAAAAAAGACAUUGUAGGCACAAGAAACAGAAACUGAUACUUUGGGGAUGUCCUAUAAGUUCCCUCUGCUGAAGUCACAUCAUCUUUCAGGGCCAGUCAAGCUGACGUUGUGGAGCAAAACCCAUAGCUCUUGAGAGUACCACUGAUGACACUUCUGGUUGUGUUGGGCUGUGUAACCAGCCAAGAUCUCUCCAGGAAGGUCCAGUAAUGAGGGCCUCCUGUAUGCCUUUACCACAGACCCAAUCAAGCCAAGACUCAGUGAUCUAUGUUGGGAAACGUUUUUUCAGGGAAUAAAUAAAGGAAAGCAAACACAAUUUACAUGAUUCUUUUUCAAUGCUGUGUCAAUCUGGUACCUGGAGCUUUGAAAUUCUCACAUUGUGUUCUUUUAGCUCAAACAAACUUAUUUUACAUUUUUCCUCCACUUUCCCCCACCUUCUAUGCUCCAUUGCAGCAACAGUCUCCCAUAACACAUUAGCAGAUUAAAAAUAACCUUCUGCCAUCCUUCAUCUAUUUUACCCAAUUUAAAACCAGACACACUACCCCAGGCUCCACAGAGCAGAAGAAGCAGAGCAUGCAUGUGUGCAUGCAUAUGGGCUCUGGACCCAAAGGAACCAAUUCUGAUAGAAAGAGGCAAGAAUUUAUUUCUACUUCCUAGAUAGAUCCGAUUUUGUCCAUCCCUCUCCUGCUGCCUGUUUUUUUAUGCUUCUAAGACAAUCAGCUGAAGAUCCAGAAAAUUAAUGAUUACAGUUAUUGUGGGACAAGAGCAAGAACAAUGAUUCAUGAACAACGGGACACCAAAAAAAAAACAAAACAAAACAAAUAAAAAAAACCAACCAACAAACCAUUAAUGCAUUCAUCUUUCCUGAAGCUAUCAGAUCCUGAUGAUCAGAGCUGAGUGAGCAGCAGAGAGAGUUACUCAAGGAGAGGCAGAGCCAGGUUCUGAACUGGCCCUGGAUGCAGAUGCUUCUUGGAGACUAACGUGGAAAGGGCUGCCAACUUGUGCCCCCAACUCCACUUUAAGUAUUGUGAGAGGAUCUUCGAUCCACAGGCAUCAAGGAGGAAAGCUGGACGAGAGCAACUGCAGCACCUCAUUGGCACACGACUCCCACCUGCAGAAAGGGCCACACAGCUGGGGCAUUGCAGUCCCAGUUGACAGCCAACGCUGGAUUCCUCUUGCUAUGCAUCUUGAUAUACACAUGACAGCAUUCACAGGAAAUGCAUCAUAUGGCCAGUUUAGAUAAAAACCCCUUUAAUGAGGGUUUGGAGCUGUUUUCUUUGAACAUGUAAUCACUGGCUUCGCAGAUUGUUUGUGCAGGUUAUUAAGCGGUGUUAACCAGGUUCAGUCAAUCUAGCAGCUGGGCUGGGUGGCAUAUUACUGAAAUUGCCAGGUAACCUGAACUGACCCAAAAUCUGUUCCCCUGUUGUGCUCCCUUGAACACAUGGGAAAAUCAAUAGCUCAGAAAACCCUUCAAUGUCUCUGUCCCUGCAUGAACUCCAUUUUUUCCCAGCUGCUACUCAUUUACCUACCAGGGUUACCAGCUGCUCUCCUGAGGAUCGCUGCCAAUGUUGCAUCACCAAGGGUGAAAUGAUCUCAAGACACUACUGAGUACAUACUGAGCUGAGAGGAAAGCCAGUUUGUUGCCCUGGAUCUUCACAAACAUCUGCACCUAUUCAACUGCAUUCACCACUCUGAAAGAGCCACCAUUAUUUAUUUGGCAGACCAAAUAGAGCUGUUUUGCACCUGGCCUAGCAGUGAACUUGAUCAAAAAGCCACCCCAGCCAAACCUUCACUGUCAUAAUAAUCUCCUCCGCUCUGAUAUCUGACUAUUCAGUGCACGUGGAGGAACACAACACCCUGCCAGACAGAUCCCGAUGCACUCUGCCCUCUUUUACUGCUGUACAGCUGCAUUUCUGGUACAAAUCAAGGACCCUACGCUGAUCGAAUGUCUUUCUUAUUUAUGAAGUAAAGUAUUGAAUCAUUUAUUUACUAUGGUUGUUGUUUUUUCCCCUCAUCUGAAUUUGAAAACAGUUCCUGGCAAUGGAGUAUUGAACAAAAACUUUGAGACUGAUGGAUGAGGUUGGUUUUGUGUGGGGAGGUAAAGGACGUUUCAGUGCUGAUAACUGUGUAUUAGACUCCCUACUUAGUAAGUUGGUAAUAUUCUUAAAGAUUUAAGUACUCUCCAGGAUGGAAUUAAAAUUGUACUUUUCAAAUGUAGUGCAUGCAGGACUUAUAAAUUCUCCAGUGAUACGCUAGCUUGUGGAAAAUGCUCAUUAAUAUCUGUUAUUUUCUUACUAUCAAUAAUACUUAAGGCCUGCUACACAAAUAUGUAGGGUAAAAUGCUUAGUGGCAAUUUCCUCAGAGCACUUAGGAUCAUUAGGGUGGCAACAGAACAUAGUCACAGCCGCAGCUUUUCCGAUUUGCUCUGUAAAAAUGAUUUAGCAAAAAGUAUCUGCAUUGACAUGGAAGCAAUCGUCUCCCAUUUCACUGCUUUGCAUUUCUGAACCAAUAAUCCCCGUGCUGCCUGCAAGUUGGGACCAAUUAUUUUAUGUUAUUAUACAUUCUUUCAAAAUUAAGCCCUAAAGCAAAACAAAAACAAACCUCCAAACACAUUUAUACCUCUUGUGUAUGAAAGUCUUAGCAUGGUAUUUCUCAGUUUUCAGCACUACUAAGAACAGGAGCUCCCAGCAACAUCAUUUUGGACAUCCAUGCACAUGAAAAGAAUGUGGUGAAAGAGCCCUGGGGAGGGAGGAGAAUGGAGAAGACCGGCCCAGUGUUCCACCAGUUUCCCGUGCAGGUAAAUUCCUCAUUUUGAGAGGAGUCAAUGGUCUCUGUGUCCACACUGAUCACAAUGUAUGCUCAUGGUUUAAUUAUCCCGGAAAAAUAUGGAGGUUUCCUCCUGUUGGGCAUUUCCAUGCUCUCUUUCUCCAGCACACAGACUGAACUCAGGAAGCCUUUUCCACUAGUUAGGUGACAGCCUGCUGCUAAUGGGGCACUGGUGAUGUGGAUGAUGAAAUGUCCAAACUCUGGCUGUCCACCAUCUCAUGCUGCAUCCUCUCUGAAAUAAUGCUCCAGCUCUGACUUUCACUUAUUUAUAUAACCACGGGCUGACUUUUUGUCUAUUUUCUCUAAGCUGCUGUGGGUUUUGUUUCCAGUAGGCGUAUUACUUGAUUAAUGAUCUUUCUGUUAACACUUGCUCAUAUGCCAUAUGGGAUCUUCUUGGGUUAUCUAAAUGCACAAAAUACUAAAAACAACUUUUUUGUUUCUUUUCUUUCUUUCUUUCUUUUUUUUUCUCAGCUCAACUCUGUUUUUAAUAGCACAGUACCUUCUCCCCUCUGUCCUCCCCCCCUACCCCUAAAAAAAAAAGAACAUUUUCCUAGCUUCUCCAGACUUCACACUGUUGAAUGUUACUUGUGAUUCAUGCUGUUACCUUGUGCAAUACUCCAGGAAAACAGACCAUAGACAGGCUCUGUCAGGAAGGGUUUUGUAAUGGAUGUGUCAUUUCUCUUGUAUCUAUAUUAAGGACAAAAUCCUGUGAUGGCUGAUGAAUUUGUAGACCCCAUCUUUCUGAAAUCACAUUAGCUGCUCAGAAGAGGAAGGCUGCUUUUCUUUCAGGCAAUGAUGAUAGCACUUUCCUGGAUGCGGGUCGAAAAAUAUUUACAUCAAUAUAAAUAAGCAGUGUGUAACUAUAAAUAAAGAACACAGGUAAUAAAAUGUUAUCAUUGAAGUUGAGAUUAAAAUUGAAUCCUGCCAAGCCCUAAACAUAGAUCAUGAUAGACAAAUCCAAUAUACCUUUUUUUUUUUUUUUUUUUUUUGGUGGUGCUGUAAUUAUAGACUAGGUAAAGAAAAAAAGAUUAUACAGCAGACAUAAUUUGUAAUGAUUUCAGUAACAUUUCUGAGGUAACGCCAUGAGAAGCAAUGACUACUUGUGCAUGCUUCUCCACAAGUGUAUGUAUCCCCCCACCAAGAGAUGCACUUGGAUUUCAACCAGAGCAAUGCUGUGAGCUGGAUACCUCUGCCAUCUGAUACUGAUACAAUGCUGUUGGCUGGGUCACCUCUGCCAGGACUGUCCAUUCCCUGACCUUGCAGCUCGGUGCCCUGGCCAACAGGAGCCCCUGCUGUAAGAUCCAAAGACAAACGGAGAAGCAGUUCCCAAACCUGGAAAGAAAUCCUAUAUGACCAACAGUCAGGUGACAGCCCGCAGGACGUGUCAACAUGGUGUUGUAGCAUGGGGUUGUCCUUUGAUGGAAUGCUACCCACUGCCUAUACACCCGUCUCUAUCAUGGCGCCCAGGGAGCAGCUACCAGAUGUUCUGGGGGUUUGUUGUUGGCAAACAUCCUGCUCUCCUUAUGACCAGGGGGGAUGGGUUCCUGGGUGGGUUCCCCUCCUUUCUAGCAGGGUGUUUAUCCGUGCUGUAACUAACUGCCGGAUGGAUAUCAGCUCUUCCCAAAGUCUUCUCAAAUCUGAACAGCCGCAGCUCUCUCAGCCUGUCCUCAUAGAGGUGUUCCAUCUCUUGGAUCCUUUCUCUGGUCCUCCUCUGGACAUGUUCCAACAGGUCCACAUCUCUCAUAGGAAGCUGCCACUUCAUGGCAAGGAGCUGGUCUGAGCACUGUGUCCUCCACUGGCUGAACUAGGAAAAGGUUUGCAUCCACGGGCAGCAUGGUUUGGCAUGGAAAAGCACAGAUGGGCUCAGAAACUGUCUCCAAGCUGCUCUUGACAAGGUAGGAGGCAUUCCCUUUAAGUUAACCAGGAAUGGAGGCUCACACUGCCUCUCUGGAAAUCAAGGCUUGAGGCCAAAAGCAAUCUCUGAUAUCUCAACAGAUGAAAAUAGAGCUUAAAAAAAUAAGAACGUGUCAUGGAAUUAAAUGAGAACCACAGAUUUAGCAGGUCUGGUGACUUCCCAAGAGAAGCUGAGGAGAAACGUAGAGAAAAGGCUUGUUUUUGAGACACAGUGAAAUGAAUUACUAGUCCCUUCUGUAAAAUCUGUUAAAGUCUUGACUGCUGGACGUUUACUUUCAAUGAAGUCAGCUUCCACUGCAGUCUGCUGAAGAGCCCUAACUUGACUGUGCAGAUGCAAUUACUGAAAAUGAAUCUGUCAGAGACAUAUCACGUAAACAAGGAGUCCUGUUUUGGCUCUCCUCCUGAAGCCAUCUUUGCCUCAGGGAUAACCUCAGCCAAUGCUUCACAAACCCAGUGGGAACAAGCAGCGCAGGCACAAAGCAGACUGACUAAGAAGGUUAGUGAAACUUCAAAGUGUUAGCCAUGAGCUGGUAAUUGGUACCUGGGAGCCAGCCAUCCACAGGGAACAUCAAACAGCGUUAUUUUUGGCUCUCCACAAAAAAAUGUCAGGAUUAUUUUAUUUGGGUGCCAUUUCGGAACACCAGCAGCCCCUGACGGGCAGCACACGCCCGGUGCUUCUGCACCUUGAUGCACUUGUAGGUGUUUGUUUUGACAGGGGGUUGACAGCGUUUCAGUGCACAGUACAUCACAGGUGAUUUGUAAGGUGAGUGUGGUCUGACAGUGGGCUCCUCUGAGCCCAGCACAGUGCACUGGUUUUCAGAGCAACAAGAUCUGUCUGCCAUUAACUAGACCUCUCUGCAAUUAUGCCGUUCUUCUCAUAAUAGAGAACUUAUUCCCCAAAAUUCAUCCUUUCUCUUUGAUCUGCGUGUGUUUCUGUAGGCAAUUACACAUUAAUAUAUCAAAGGCUAUUGACAAUGCCAAGAAAUGGGUAUGCUAAUAUUCUUGUUUAAUCAUACAUGGGUUUGGGUGUCGUUUGUUGUUUUGUUUUGUUUUAGUAAAAUUGACAGCAGGACCUUGCAGUUAGAAGCCAGGCACAGGAACACGAGGUCAAGAGAAGUCAGCUGCACGAUUCCCUUUGAUUUCUAUGAGAUGAGAGUUACAGCUGGAAUUCGGGAUUCGGUUUCCACCUCUUCUCCAUACCUUCACUGUGCUUUCAGCAAGUGCAGCCAGGUACCCAGCUGCCUAAAUUCCAUAGCCUGAAAAUUUUGCUCAAGGGACUGCUGUUCACCAGGUCUGCAGCAUAUGCUUCCUUCAGCCCUUGUUCUGCACAGCAAAAGCAAACGGGAUCCCACUGAACGCCUUCCUGCCACCUCUAACUGAAACGCUCUGCAUACUUUUGCUCCCCAAAUUUUGUAUGGCUCAAAUAAAAUUGCUUACUUGAAAGUUAAGGUUUGUCAACGAUUUCUGACUUUUUUUUUAAAGAAGGUAGUGGUGUUUGUUUCUUUUCCUUCUCCAUGAUCAUUCAAGUGUUGGUAAGGGGCAAACUUUGAGCACAAGUUUUAUAUUUCUCAGGAAAUGAAUGUAUUUCCCUUGCUUUUCUAAAAUAUCAUACUUUCAACUUUGAGUUAUUUAUCCAAAUAUUUCUAUUCCCCGCUGUAUUCUGAACGUUUGAUCUAUGUGAGGCAGUGCUCUGUUUAACCUUGCUUGUACUGAAAGCAAUAAAAUAUAAAAUGAAUAGGUGGAAAGGGAUAGUAAAUCCCCACUGAGAAAUUAUCUGGCAGUUUCUGAGUCAUGGGAAGAUAUCAACAAAGUGAAAUUUAUUUAAUAUUGAUGAAUGGGACAGUAAUGCACCUAGGGAGAAAUAACAGCAAUCAACACAGAUAUUUAGGAGACAUUAAUAUAGAAAAAGACCUUGGGGUUGAAGCGGAUAAUUAAGUGCAUAAGAGCUCACAUUGCAAAACAAGCAAUCGGUGUUCCAGAGCGUGCAGCGUCAAAAGAGAUGUGCCGUGCAGCAAAGUGAGGGAUAAGUGCGGCACAACUUAGCCUGAGUAAGACUGGAGCUGGGGUGGGGUAUGAAUUUUUCAGCCUCCUCUUUUUAAGAAGACACGGGAAAGUGGCAGAGAAGUAAAAGACGGGUAGUAGAAAUGACAAAGAGAGCUGCGGGCAUUGCGUGUGAAGGCGCGGCGGAAAGUAAUUCAUUCAGCAGGAGGGAGCAGCGCCAGCCCUCCUGUCUGUGUGCCGCACGAAUGGACUUUCCCUGCAGCAGCAAUGGUAAAAGGGUCUCAAAUUAAAAAUGGAACAACUCCAUUUAGAUACAAGAGAAAUGACUUAAUACUAAGGGCUGUUACAUGGGCAAUGGAGUAAGCUGUCUGGUGAGCAGCUGAACACAAGGCACCGUCAAUAGAAGGUUUCUGGGGUGAGACUGGAAAAAGUGCCAGUGGGAUUACUGCAGAAGAGGCUUCUCAGCAUGAGCAUGGCUAACACAAAGGUCCUUUGCUGUCAUUUUCAUCGACACUUCUGGGAUCUCAAAGGCUGUGCACAAUAAAAGAGACAAUAUGUCCAGAUUUUAAUGAAAUCCAUCUGCCACGCUCAGUGAGACUACAUGGUGACUGGGACGAGAGGUGCAGCCCUGCAAGCCUCACCUCUGUAUCCCAUCUGCUCUACAGGCUUUCACAGGAGUGGGCCCGGGAGCUGAAGAUGCUGCAGAGGUGGGUUAUAGCCAUGUGCAUUUUCAGAGAAGCUGGCACAGCUCCUGCCUAUUUUGAAAUGUUUGCUUCUGGAAUUUGUGAUGCUUGAACCAGUUAAAUACUAGAUUAUCGUAAGUGUAAUUUACAUGUUUCCCAAGUAAGGGAAUGCGAGUGGAGAAGAGAAUUUCUGAAUGUUCGUAUUUCCAAAUUAAACCAGUGUAAAUGAGCCUUCUGUUCGAUUCAGUGUGUAACACAUUAUUUCAUGGCUGUCUCCUCAAUAUUACAGGCCCCUUUUACAUCAAGCAGUGUCAUACCCCAUCCAAAUCACUGUGAGAUAAAGAUGUUCCCCUUUAAUGUAAUAAAGGACUACAACAAUACUCCAA